rnacentral:rRNA from 1 species
GACGAACGCUGGCGGCGUGCUUAACACAUGCAAGUCGAACGGAAAGGCCCUGCUUUUGUGGGGUGCUCGAGUGGCGAACGGGUGAGUAACACGUGAGUAACCUGCCCUUGACUUUGGGAUAACUUCAGGAAACUGGGGCUAAUACCGGAUAGGAGCUCCUGCUGCAUGGUGGGGGUUGGAAAAUUUCGGCGGUUGGGGAUGGACUCGCGGCUUAUCAGCUUGUUGGUGGGGUAGUGGCUUACCAAGGCUUUGACGGGUAGCCGGCCUGAGAGGGUGACCGGCCACAUGGGGCCUGAGAUACGGACCAGACUCCUACGGGAGGCAGCAGUGGGGAACAUUGCACAAUGGGCGGAAGCCUGAUGCAGCAACGCCGCGUGCGGGAUGACGGCCUUCGGGUUGUAAACCGCUUUCGCCUGUGACGAAGCGUGAGUGACGGUAAUGGGUAAAGAAGCACCGGCUAACUACGUG